rnacentral:rRNA from 1 species
CCUACGGGGGGCAGCAGUGGGGGAUAUUGCACAAUGGGGGGAACCCUGAUGUAGCGACGCCGCGUGGGUGAAGAAGCGCCUCGGCGCGUAAAGCCCUGUCAGCAGGGAAGAAAAUGACGGUACCUGAAGAAGAAGCCACGGCUAACGACGUGCCAGGAGCCGCGGGAAUACGGAGGGGGCAAGCGUUAUCCGGAUUUACUGGGUGUAAAGGGGGCGCAGACGGCGUUGCAAGCCAGGAGUGAAAGGCCGGGGCCCAACCCCGGGACUGCUCUUGGAACUGGGUGGCUGGAGUGCAGGAGGGGCAGGCGGAAUUCCUGGUGUAGCGGUGAAAUGCGUAGAUAUCAGGAGGAACACCGGUGGCGAAGGCAGCCUGCUGGACUGCAACUGACGUUGAGGCCCGAAAGCGUGGGGAGCAAACAGGAUUAGAUACCCCAGUAGUC